AGGCCUGCCAAGCUCACCAGCUAGUCAGUGUGCAGCCAGCACAGCAGGAGCGCGACUUGCUAGGGCCCUCAGAACAAGCCGUGUGGCCCGAGGCCUUCACACAGGAUCUGUGCUGAGACCUCAAGGUGCUGGGACCUCUGGCUGCUGCAUCAUUUACAGAGGAAUUGUCUGGGAUGUGCCAGGCAUAGCACUGUGGCUCUUGCCGGUGUGCGUGUCAGCACACUAGUGACAUGGCAGGUUCAGGUCGGUGGACAGACUGGACUUGGAAACACCUUCUUGUGUCCUCGAAACGACGUGGCGCCAAGCCAGCUCACAGCACCCAAAAGCGCGGGCAAGUUGCAGCGCGGCAGCCCCUCCUGUCUGAGCAAGAGCAGGUGCGUUCCUGAGGUCCUGGCCACUUCUGCAGGAGCAUCUGAGGGACCCCAGCUGAUUUACCACGACCCCUGAUCUCCCAGGUUAGCCUUUCCGUCCAACAGCACCAGGACUGGAC